AUUGAACGCUGGCGGCAUGACUUACACAUGCAAGUCGAACGGCAGCACGGGUGCUUGCACCUGGUGGCGAGUGGCGAACGGGUGAGUAAUACAUCGGAACGUACCUUAUCGUGGGGGAUAACGCAGCGAAAGAUGUGCUAAUACAGCAUAUGACCUGAGGGCGAAAGCGGGGGAUCGAAAGACCUCGCGCGAUUAGAGCGGCCGAUGACUGAUUAGCCUGUUGGUGGGGUAAAAGCCCACCAAGGCGACUAUCAGUAGCUGGUCUGAGAGGCCGAUCAGCCACACUGGGACUGAGACACGGCCCAGACUCCUACGGGAGUCAGCAGUGGGGAAUUUUGGACAAUGGGGGCAACCCUGAUCCAGCAAUGCCGCGUGAGUGAAGAAGGCCUUCGGGUUGUAAAGCUCUUUUGUCAGGGAAGAAACACCGGCUCUAACACAGUCCGGGAAUGACGGUACCUGAAGAAUAAGCACCGGCUAACUACGUGCCAGCCGCCGCCGUAA
rnacentral:rRNA from 1 species